rnacentral:rRNA from 1 species
AGCAGUCGCCGCGGGAACACGUAGGUGGCAAGCGUUGUCCGGAAUUAUUGGGCGUAAAGGGCUCGCAGGCGGUUUCUUAAGUCUGAUGUGAAAGCCCCCGGCUCAACCGGGGAGGGUCAUUGGAAACUGGAAACUUGAGUGCAGAAGAGGAGAGUGGAAUUCCACGUGUAGCGGUGAAAUGCGUAGAGAUGUGGAGGAACACCAGUGGCGAAGGCGACUCUCUGGUCUGUAACUGACGCUGAGGAGCGAAAGCAUGGGGAGCGAACAGGAUUAGAUACCCGCGUAGUCCCUGUCUCUUAUACA